rnacentral:rRNA from 1 species
GACGAACGCUGGCGGCGUGCCUAAUACAUGCAAGUCGAACGAAGCUGUUUUAACUGGUGCUUGCACCGACUUAAACAACUGAGUGGCGAACGGGUGAGUAACACGUGGGUAACCUGCCCCAAAGCGGGGGAUAACAUUUGGAAACAGAUGCUAAUACCGCAUAACCACAGAAACCACAUGGUUUCUGUGUCAAAGAUGGUUUCGGCUAUCACUUUGGGUUGGACCCGCGGCGUAUUAGCUAGUUGGUAAGGUAAUGGCUUACCAAGGGAAUGAUACGUAGCCGAACUGAGAGGUUGAUCGGCCACAUUGGGACUGAGACACGGCCCAAACUCCUACGGGAGGCAGCAGUAGGGAAUCUUCCACAAUGGACGAAAGUCUGAUGGAGCAACGCCGCGUGAGUGAAGAAGGUUUUCGGAUCGUAAAACUCUGUUGUCAGAGAAGAACGUGUGCGAGAGUAACUGUUCGUGCAGUGACGGUAUCUGGCCAGAAAGCCACGGCUAACUACGUGCCAGCAGCCGCCGUAA